CACACCUGUAUGUCAAAGGAAUGAUUCACCCAAAGGUUCUGUAAAUCUGGCACCAGCACUGCAUGGUAGGGGGCAGGUGAGGGAAGGUGGGGAAACAAGGAAAGACAGCAUGGGAGUUAAAAAGUAUGACAGAAGAAAAGAAAUGCAGGCAUGUAUCUUAAGGGUUUGCUUACUUGCAUCACAGGGAGAAAAAUAAGAACGAUGUGUGACUAAGAAUAAACAGCAAAAGGAAUGUUUAAACUACAUCAACAUGCAGUCUCUCUUAGGGAUAGUCUUCAAAUGUGCCACGGAAAGCCUGCUGCUUGAACUGCAGUAUGGUAAAUUUUGCAAUUUAAAUGUCCAUUAAAAUUUUAUAAAUUCUCAGCAAUACAAUGAAAUUGCAUUUAAUCUGCACUGGGGGGACCUUAAUUGUCACCUCCCUCCUUCCAGUAAAAUGAAAUCUGGACUACUACAAUGAAAACAAGGGAGAUAUGUGCCUUCUAGAAUACAUAUUUCUAACUUUAAAUCUCUUCUUCCAACCACAGGGUUCCAGAAGUCUAAGCAAACAAACAAGGUUGACUUAGACAAAUCCAUUAGAGCCAAUUGAAUGAUUUAAAUUUUAAUACACACAUGAUGCAUUGCAAUGAAUGCAUCAAAGAACAACUAGUAUAGCACUUAGCAGGAAAUACUGGUUCAAGAUCAAAGCAAAAUGAGAGAAAAAUGAAGGGGAGCCAAUGAUGAGGGUUCGUGGAGCACAUUUAAUCACAAAUGAAAACCGAGGAUAACAUACAUCUAGAUUAUAAUUUGAAAAGGAAGCAAACACGGACUAGGGCUUUGCUUCAAGGGAACAGUGGGGCCCUACCGCAUCUUUUCUUGUAUAAUUGGUAUCUGUGCAGCUUCGUGGAAAACUUGAAACACAAUUCCAAAUGUACUGGAGUCUGACCCAUCAAGAGCAAGGCAGUGAUUAGACUCAACCUCUAAAUUCUGGGUUUCAGGGCUCUUAGAGAUCCCGGCUGGAACACCUGACUACAAGCAGCUCUUUCGUACCGACAAAAAACUGACCUUUGUUGGCUUGAGGCUGUAUGGCCCAGAAAGGGGAUAAGGCAGACUGGAAUCACUGGCCAACCUAGCUGCAGUGCUUCUGCCACCUGGAGCUGCUAGGCCAUUCUCCUCCCUGCAAGUCUCCAAGUUAAUGCUCUUCUGGGCUUGAAGGGAGAGAAGAAUCCACCAAGUCUUCCCUGCCUCAGUGAGGUCAGGGGAACAAGCCCUUGACUGUUGAAGCGGGCUCCACAGGUUGCUGAACCCAUAGGAUAACAUUUGUAACUGAUUUAGAGAUUACCCGGGGUCAGACUCCAACCUUAAGUACAAUCUGCUUUUUUCCUUUCACAAUAGCCACAGUAUCUGCAUGACAGUACCCUGCCUGACCUCCAGCUAGCAUUCCACUGGAAAUUAUAUCAGAGGGAUUAAGCAUAAUUGUUCUCUGUGGAAAUCACUGUGCUAUCCCAGAUUGAAGAUUUGGGGUUAGAUAAAAAUCAGCAGCAGAGUAACUCACUUCAGUAAGAAAGACCGCUGAACCUGUGUGUGGCAGAGAAUGUGUCCAAUCUGAUCACCAUGGCUCAACCCCAGAACUGUACACAAUACUUGGCACAUAACUGGAACCCUUAUUCCCACAGUUCCAUUUAAGACAUGGUGCAUAAAGCACAGGGUCCCUCUUCCACUCACCUGGGGGCAGAAGGUGUGACUAAUGAAGACAGAAUGAAGAGAAGAAGCAAGUCCUGAAACUAAAGGAAUGGACCAGUUGGAAGUUCAACCCUCAGUAUACACCAGUAGAUGGCAGCAAGAAAUUCAACCUGACCUUCCAUCAUUUUAUAAAAGUAGUAGGAAUUACUGCUGGACCACUGGAAAGAAUUCUUCUCUAGACUUCAGGAGGCUCGAGUUCUAAUUCCGAUUCUCCCUGUAGCUGAUGAACAUGGGCAAAGGCCACAGCUCUAAAAGAAGAUCAAAUCCAAAAUGUAGAAGAAAGUAAAUGAAUAUCUGUUGAGAGCCAGAGAGAAUACAUUUCUUUACAAUACGGCUAAGCACAGAAGGGGCCUCAAGGAUUUGAAACUGCUGCAAUCUGGAGUUACAUAUUUGCAUUAAAAAACCUGCAUCUGGCUAAGGCCACAGAGUCCAGGGGAAAGAGCAUAGCUCUGGAAGUGAGGCAGAGCUCUGCCACUCAGCUUCUCUGUGUCACCUCAGGCAAGUCGCUUAAUCUCUCUGGGCUCAGCUUCAUGGUACCUAAAAUGGGGGUAUACUACUUGCCUUUUCUUACUUUACAGGGAUUUCAUGGGAAUAAAAUCUGUUAGUUGACGUGCAAGUGCUUUAAAUGGGAUUUUUAGGGUAAGGGAAGAAGAAAAAAGGAGAGGGGUUAACAAUGUCUGAAAAUUCAUCUAGCAUUCUUUUCAAGUCCCUUCUUUUGUUCUUUAACAGCAUGUGCUUUUCAUAGCUGCCUUGUAAGGUCUUUGAGGGCAGGAAUAAUGCCUACCAACUGUACUGAACUGUACAAGUGUACCAAGCGCUUGCUCCGCACACAGUGAGCACUCAAUAAAUACCACCGAAAUUAACUAAUGGUUAGUGAUACUAUCCAUCCCCUAAACCACAAACUCUCGAAUGCUCCCCUAAAGUCACAGUGAGUUUGGGGGCUCCAAAGCUUACAGGUCUGAAAUUUCUGCACAUGAAUAGUAUUAGAAUUACUAUUCUUGGAAGAAGCUGGUCAUUCAUUGCCCAAGGACCCAGAACUCCUGUGACCUGGAGCCAAAACAAGCAUUAGACUGUUUCCUCACGGUGAAGAGCCGUACUUCUU